rnacentral:rRNA from 1 species
GGAAUUGACGGGACCCGCACAAGCGGUGGAUGAUGUGGUUUAAUUCGAUGCAACGCGAAAACCUUACCUACCUUUGACAUGUACGGAAUUCGCCAGAGAUGGCUUAGUGCUCGAAAGAGAACCGUAACACAGGUGCUGCAUGGCUGUCGUCAGCUCGUGUCGUGAGAUGUUGGGUUAAGUCCCGCAACGAGCGCAACCCUUGUCAUUAGUUGCUACAUUUAGUUGGGCACUCUAAUGAGACUGCCGGUGACAAACCGGAGGAAGGUGGGGAUGACGUCAAGUCCUCAUGGCCCUUAUAGGUAGGGCUACACACGUCAUACAAUGGAUGGUACAAAGGGUCGCCAACCCGCGAGGGGGAGCCAAUCCCAUAAAACCAUUCGUAGUCCGGAUCGCAGUCUGCAACUCGACUGCGUGAAGUCGGAAUCGCUAGUAAUCGUGGAUCAGAAUGUCACGGUGAAUACGUUCCCGGGUCUU